AUGAAGGGAAUUACGAACAUACCUUGUCUCCACAUUGGAUCCAGAACAGGAUCAGAGGGAUCAAAAACUGCUAAUUCGUAUAAAGCCAUUGAGCCAGCCCAACCAGAAACUAGAGCUGUGUGCAUUAUAUGCACCGCAAGCAAUCGACCCGGAUCAUUCAAUACGACAGUAUGA
rnacentral:rRNA from 1 species